rnacentral:snoRNA from 1 species
GAGCAAAUGAUGAAGGAUAUUAGUAUGUUAUACUGAUACAAAUCCCUGAUGCUUCAAACUCGAGCUUUUUAAAACUGAUGCUCA